UUUGAAUUUCUUAUCACUGAUUUUCAAAUUUAUCAAUCAUAUUUCGGAAAAGCUCUGAAAAAUCUGAUUCUGAUUAGGAAAGCUUCAAGAGUUCCAACUUUCAACUUUUCAGUGAGCCGGAAACUGCGGAAACAUUGUAAUUAAUGAGCGAUGAAUCAUGGAAUCGGUUAAACCAAGUUGAACGUGAAAGUAUCAAUUGAUGGCAUCUCAUACUCAUCCAUGCACUUGAAAAACGAAUAAUUGAACGAAAUGCAACUUCAUAUAUUGCGGUUCAAUUUACACUCAAUUAAUACCGCGUAACAAUGAACUCAAAAGCACGAUCGAGAGAAGAGAACGCGAAUCAACGAUGAAUUCCUAAAAUGCAUAAUCUCGCCACAAAUUUCAUAUAAUCUCGCCAUUUUCAUCGUGUUAUUAAAUUGCUAUACAGAACAUUCCAAAUGCGAAAGGGUUCUUUGGGCUUAAAACAUAACUUACUACGAAACCGCAAAUAAGUUUUUGAGUCUAGUUGCACACUACGUGGGGUUAUCAUCAAGUUAUUAAUAGACUUGAAACAUAAUUUAGAACUCGAUUUUAUAGCAGCAUAGCCGCAAACUUUCUAAUGUAUCCUUUAUUGUUUACAGAAUUGGUGUAUUUCAGUUAAAGUGGUCAUUUCAAGAUGUAUGUUAACUUUUAUUGCUGCUCAUUCGUAUAUCGUUUCGCUGUCAUAUUUAGUAUUAUUGUUAUUAUCUUUUAUAAUGGCUAAUAUUAUACGUUUUCGUGGUGACUUUUAAUAGGCUUACAUGUCGUUUAUUUUAUAGCCUUAUGUGUCGGUGUACUUAUAGAUUUUUCUUUUGUAUCUACUUAUGAUUUUUAAAGUGUAGAUGUUUCGUAUGAUGAGUUGUUUCAACUUUCAAAUCUAAGGGUUUUUUCCUUUUCUUAUAAUAAACAGGAUUAGCGUA